rnacentral:misc_RNA from 1 species
GGAGGCGAGCGACACCGCGUGGGGUUGGGGGUCCCUGUACCAUUCUGGGUGGACGUCGCACCACAUUUAUGUCAACGAGCAUCGUGGAAAGGAGUGGUCAGCGCCGGAGCGCCGAAGGCGCGAAGGCGCCCAGAGAGAUCUUGGAUGU